GAUGAACGCUAGCGGGAGGCUUAACACAUGCAAGUCGUGGGGCAGCACGGGGUAGCAAUACUCUGGUGGCGACCGGCGCACGGGUGAGUAACGCGUAUGCAACCUGCCCUGUACAGGGGGAUAGCCCGGAGAAAUUCGGAUUAAUACCCCAUAAAGAUAUCGAGAGGCAUCUUUUGAUAUUUAAAGCUUCGGCGGUACGGGAUGGGCAUGCGUGACAUUAGCUAGUUGGUAGGGUAACGGCCUACCAAGGCUUCGAUGUCUAGGGGUCCUGAGAGGGUGAUCCCCCACACUGGUACUGAGACACGGACCAGACUCCUACGGGAGGCAGCAGUGAGGAAUAUUGGUCAAUGGGCGACAGCCUGAACCAGCCAUCCCGCGUGAAGGAAGAAGGCGCUAUGCGUUGUAAACUUCUUUUCCAGAGGAAUAAAAUGCCGCACGUGUGCGGCACUGAAGGUACUCUGGGAAUAAGCAUCGGCUAACUCCGUGCCGGCAGCCGCGGUAAUACGGAGGAUGCGAGCGUUAUCCGGAUUCAUUGGGUUUAAAGGGUGCGUAGGCGGACUUAUAAGUCAGUGGUGAAAACCUGCAGCUUAACUGUAGACGUGCCAUUGAUACUGUUAGUCUUGAGUAUGGUCAAGGUAGGCGGAAUGUGUAAUGUAGCGGUGAAAUGCUUAGAUAUUACACAGAACACCGAUUGCGAAGGCAGCUUACUCGGCCAUUACUGACGCUGAUGCACGAAAGCGUGGGGAGCGAACAGGAUUAGAUACCCUGGUAGUCCACGCCGUAAACGAUGAUCACUCGCUGUUAGCGAUACACAGUUAGCGGCUAAGCGAAAGCAUUAAGUGAUCCACCUGGGGAGUACGAUCGCAAGAUUGAAACUCAAAGGAAUUGACGGGGGCCCGCACAAGCGGAGGAGCAUGUGGUUUAAUUCGAUGAUACGCGAGGAACCUUACCUGGGCUAGAACGCUGGGCGACCGUCCGGGAAACCGGAUUUCUCUUCGGAGCGGCCAGCGAGGUGCUGCAUGGUUGUCGUCAGCUCGUGCCGUGAGGUGUCGGGUUAAGUCCCAUAACGAGCGCAACCCCUAUCAUUAGCUGCCAUCAGGUCAUGCUGGGAACUCUAGUGAAACUGCCUACGCAAGUAGUGAGGAAGGUGGGGAUGACGUCAAAUCAGCACGGCCCUUACGUCCAGGGCUACACACGUGCUACAAUGGCCGGUACAAAGGGCAGCUACUUGGUGACAAGAUGCUAAUCUCAAAAACCGGUCUCAGUUCGGAUCGAAGUCUGCAACUCGACUACGUGAAGUCGGAAUCGCUAGUAAUCGUGGAUCAGAAUGUCACGGUGAAUACGUUCCCGGGUCUUGUACACACCGCCCGUCACACCAUGGGAGCGGGUUCUGCCAGAAGUAGUUAGCUUAACCGCAAGGAGGGCGAUUACCACGGCAGGGUUCGUGACUGGGGUG
rnacentral:rRNA from 1 species